rnacentral:lncRNA from 1 species
GGGUGCCAUGUCACAGUGCUGCCCCAAGACAGCCCCGCCCUGAACUGUGCAGGUCCAGAACAGAGGCGCUGCUAGUGGAGGGGACAGCUUGAGGUGACUCAGCAGGGACAGUUUGUUCACUCCAGCAGGCUGGCUUUGGGAUGGACUGGGCUGGGCUGGGCUGUGCUGGCCGGCGGGCAGUGGGGAUGGCGAGUUAGGGCCUGUAGGGGGAUAGGCAAGAGAAUCCCUGGCCUUCAUCCGUGGGCAAAGCCAAGCCACCUGAGGGGCUUUGCCCCGUUGAAGGAGAAGCACAUGUGGUAAUGGCCUGUUGUGGGGCCCACAUGGCCAGAUGCACCCUGGCUCUGGCCCCCCGGACACUGGUGAGGCCUGGUCAGGGACUUGAGGGACAGAAGAUGAAAGGACCCGGGCAUCCUGCCUUCCAGCACUGUGAUACAUCCCGUACAAGGCGCCUCCAUGCCCUGCCCAGGUGCUGCCACAGGCCGGGGCCCUCAGGAGGAGCUGCUGUUGGUCUGCUCUGCCACAGCCGUGGGCCACAGCUGAGGGCUUCUGCAGAGACAGGCAUGAGGUCACCAGGGUCCUGGGCCAUAAUAGGUCAACAGUGCAGCCCCAAGGAGAUGUUCCCGCAGCUCCACAUCGAGGGCGCCACUUGCUGCAGGAAUAAGAAACAGAAUAUUUAUCAUCAUCUCCCAGCAACAGCACCAACACCUGAAUAAAGAACUCGUCAGUUUUUCCUGCUCAGCGGCUGGUUUAUCUUAAACUGUCGAAGUUGAUAGCCCAAUCCACUUUUUGAUGUAACUAUGAUGGUUUUAGGAGAUUUAGACAUGAUUUUUUAUAGCACGAGAAAGAAAAAUAGAACUGAAUAUAUGAUAA